ACGGGGAAGAUGGUGCAAAUCCAUCACGGUGCCGCCACUGUAAGCGGGGAGUGACUCUGCAGCAUGCCACUGUGUGCCUCGGCACAUGGGAAGGCGCAGAGAAGCGAUGAUCCGUAAGUCAGGAGACCC
rfam:Nitrospira sp. SG-bin1 contig1173, whole genome shotgun sequence.